rnacentral:rRNA from 1 species
UACGGGGGAUCCGAGCGUUAUCCGGAUUUAUUGGGUUUAAAGGGUGCGUAGGCGGUUUGAUAAGUUAGAGGUGAAAUGUCGGGGCUCAACCCCGAAACUGCCUCUAAUACUGUUGGACUAGAGAAUAGUUGCGGUAGGCGGAAUGUAUGGUGUAGCGGUGAAAUGCCUAGAGAUCAUACAGAACACCGAUUGCGAAGGCAGCUUACCAAACUAUAUCUGACGUUGAGGCACGAAAGCGUGGGUAGCAAACAGG